rnacentral:rRNA from 1 species
AGUCGAACGAGAAAGCCCCUUUCGGGGGGUGAGUAAAGUGGCGAACGGGUGAGUAACACGUGGAUUACCUGCCCUCGAGUGGGGAAUAACUUCGGGAAACUGGGGCUAAUACCGCAUACGAUCUUUCGGGAUGAAAGUCUUCGGACGCUCGAGGAGGGGUUCGCGGCCGAUUAGCUUGUUGGUGGGGUAAAAGCCCACCAAGGCAAAGAUCGGUAGCCGGCCUGAGAGGGCGCACGGUCACACUGGCACUGAGACACGGGCCAGACUCCUACGGGAGGCAGCAGUGGGGAAUCUUGGACAAUGGGGGAAACCCUGAUCCAGCGACGCCGCGUGAGUGAUGACGCCUUUCGGGGUGUAAAACUCUUUCAGCGGGGACAAUAAUGAUGGUACCCGCACAAGCAGCUGCGGCUAACUACGUGCCAGCAGCCGCGGUAAUACGUAGGCAGCAAGCGUUGUUCGGAAUUACUGGGCGUAAAGCGAGUGUAGGCGGUUCACCAAGUCUGUUGUGAAAUCUCCCGGCUCAACUGGGAGGGUGCGGCGGAAACUGGUGGGCUAGAGUGCGAGAGGGGAGAGUGGAAUUCCUGGUGUAGCGGUGAAAUGCGUAGAUAUCAGGAGGAACACCGGUGGUGA